GAUGAACGCUGGCGGCGUGCUUAACACAUGCAAGUCGCACGAGAAAGGGCUUCGGCCCCGGUACAGUGGCGCACGGGUGAGUAACACGUAGGUAAUCUGCCUCCGAGUGGUGGAUAACCUCCCGAAAGGGGGGCUAAUACAGCAUGAGACCACGGUUUCGAAAGAAGCAGGGGUCAAAGCGGGCCACUUCAUGAAAGCUCGCGCUCGGAGAGAAGCCUGCGGCCCAUCAGCUAGUUGGUAGGGUAAUGGCCUACCAAGGCGAAGACGGGUAGCUGGUCUGAGAGGAUGAUCAGCCACACUGAAACUGAGACACGGUCCAGACUCCUACGGGAGGCAGCAGUGGGGAAUCUUGCGCAAUGGGCGAAAGCCUGACGCAGCGACGCCGCGUGAAGGAUGAAGGUCUUCGGAUUGUAAACUUCUGUUAAGUGGGAAGAAAGAGCCAUGAGUAAUAUGCAUGGGAGAUGACUGUACCAUUAGAGAAAGCACCGGCUAAUCUCGUGCCAGCAGCCGCGGUAACAC
rnacentral:rRNA from 1 species